rnacentral:lncRNA from 1 species
GUGGACCAUGAUGACUGCCUCCUGCUCCAGCCAGAGGGGCUUCAUUCCAUCUGAGACUUUAUUUUGGAACUGGCAACACCUUCUGUGGACUAUGCAGUGUAUCAGGGAGGCACUGGGACAAAAUGGGGAUGCAAGGGGGCCGUUAGGACAAGACUCUGCGUGCAUGGCUCGGGAUCACAAGACCUGGAGAUCCAGAACCAAGAAACCCAAGAGCACCAAGGAAAAGGCAAGCUACUUGAGAGACAAGAAAAGAGUUGUAAGAGCAAGUGACACUUGAGUAAGCCCCUGAAGUAGGGGGAAUUUGCAGAGUUG